rnacentral:antisense_RNA from 1 species
AGGUAUUUUUUGAUUUUUAAGCUAUUUGUUAAGUACAUAAUAUUGAAAUGUAUGUUGUUUAAAUUAGGAUUUUCAAGUAAUUUACAUCGUCUUCUAAAUUCUUGGGGUCUAUCAAUCAGAAACGCUGGAAAGUUUAUGUACUGGUUUCACGUUGUUAAUAGAAUAUCUAUAAUAAAAUUCAAAUGCAUUAUUUAAAAAUAAGUGAA